ensembl:lncRNA
AAAUAAAAAGGUAUUAAACAAUGACCAUAUAAUUAUAACAUAUGAUAAAAUAAGAAAAAUUUUGAUGUUAAUUUUUGUGAGGUUUGUUAAGAUUGUUGUUUAUACCAAUGACAUUGAAAAUGAAUUAUUAAAUAAAAAAUUAAUGAUGAAAUUUUUUAAAUAUUAUGUUAUUGAAUAUGAUGAAAUGUGGUUCGACGCGUAUUACAAAUGUGUGGAGAGUAUAGAUGAUACAUAUGUAUACGGCAUAGACAUCGGAAAUAGUAACGUUGGUAUAUAUAAUACGAAUGAUAAUUGUGCAAGAAACAAUAGUACGGACAUGUUUAGGAGAUAUUCCAAUACCAGUAGUUACGACGACAGUCACAUUCAGAAUACCCGAAGCGAUUUGAAACAAAAAAUGUUUGCCGUGUUAAAAACGUUUAUACAUCUUCACCACAACAUGUAUAAUUUAAUUUUUGAAGAAUUUUUAAAAUUUUUUAGUUUUUAUGACCAAAUAAAUAUUUCAAAUUUAUUUCAUCCAAUUAGGAACAUAAAACAUUAUUUUAUCUAUAACGUUAUGAAUGCUUAUUAUUCUUUAUUUACAUUUUUAAUUAGUGUGUUAGUUGAAUGUAAGAAAGUUAUUACGGAUGACGAUUCGCAAGUAAAUGACAAUAUUAUUGUUUAUGCUGGGUUACAGCGGAAGAAACAGGUUGAAAAUUGUAAUGCUGUUAGUAGUGAUAGUAGCAUUAGUGGUAGUGGCAUUAGUGGUAGUGGCAUUAGUGGUAGUGGCAUUAGUGGUAGUGGCAUUAGUGGUAGUGGCAUUAGUGGUAGUGGCAUUAGUGGUAGUAACAUUAGUGGUAGUAACAUUAUUGGUAGUAACAUUAUUGGUGGAAAUAACAAUGGAGAGGAUUCCUGUAAGGCUUAUAUACAAAAUAGAGUGAGUUUGAAAGAGUCCAUUGAAAAAAAAAUUUCAGAAUUAUAUAAUGAAACUAAUUUAAAUGUGACUAACUCAGUUUACAACCAACAAUAUCCAGGCAUUUCAUCUACAGAAAAAUAUGGUAUCAUCAUGAAUAAUAUACAAACAAAUGCAUUAAAUAAGAGUAGUAGUAGUAGUAGUAUGGACGAUUAUAAACAAAACUAUAUUGAAGAAAAGAUUUACGAAUUAAUAGAAGAAAAAAAAAAAAUAGAAUUAGAAUUAUUUAUAAUAAAAUGUAUAGAAGAGUAUAAAAGCUCGCCAUAUUAUGAACUAGACCCUGGUUGUAUUAAUAAUAUUCUAUAUUGUUAUAAAAAAAUAAUACAAAACGAUUUUUUACAAUUCGAAAAAGUUUCUUCUAAUUUAUUUUUUUUUGAAAUAAAACGACUGCAGUGUAUAGCUGCAAAUACGUAUGUUCUAAAUUAUGAUAAAGAGUUGGCUUAUUUUAUGAUGGAAACUUUGUUGAAAAAUGUUGUUCAAGGGGAAAAUGUAAGUACCCCUGGUAGUACCACUAGUAAUACCAUUGGUAGUAGCAAUAAUAACAAAAGCACAAUGUCGCUAGAAUUAAAAAAAAACUACUUAUCCAUUUUUAGUUCAAUUAUUUUACAAUUAAAAAAUAACCUUCCUAAUGAUGUUAUAAAAAGCAUUUUACAUACACUCAUCGAAUAUAGUACAAAAGUAAAAACACAAUUGAAACAAAAUAAAGAGUUGUUUUUUUGUGUAUUCACAGUGCUAUCUAUUUUAUGUAUGAAUAAUGUAAAUGAAAAGAUGGUAUAUAUAAACUUAUUUAUGCAAGAAGUGUAUCAGUUUAUAACAAACUUGAAUAAACAAGUAACAUCUUUUGAAACAUUAUAUUCUUUUUUAUAUAAUAAUAAUUAUGAACAAACAGAAGAAAUAAAAGUUUGCUUAUUUAACUGUUAUAAUAUACUUAUACAUUAUUUUAAUAUUUUUACUUUAUAUAAAAUGGAUAUAUGUAUAAAAAAUAAUGAAUCAGAUAAAUUAGAAAUUAAAAACAGUAAAGUAUAUUUUAACAGACUAAAUAGGUACACAGUAUCAAUUUCGUCGAAAUAUGAUCAAGAGUUAGAAAUGAUUAUAAAUGAAAACUCGUUUUUAAUCAAAGAAAACGAAUUUAUCCAAAUGAACAUGCUCCUUUUUACUAAUAUGUUGUCCAUUUACAACGUAUUUAACGAUUUUUUAAGAAACAAUAUUAACGUGGAUACAUACCCUGCUAUUUUUACAGAAAUAAGAUAUUUUUAUUUGAGCGAUAGUGGAAAGGCUUAUGUACAUGUGUAUCUGGAAGGUAAAAAAAAAAAAAAAAAAAAAAAUAAAAUAAAAAAUACCAAUAAUAAUGCAAAUAGCACAAAUGACAGAAAUAUCACAAAUAGCACAAAUUGCACAAAUAAAGGGCCUGUUAUGGGAUCCAUCACUAACAGUACCAACAUGGGAAGUAGCUUAAUAAAUACACAGGAAAAUAACAAGCCAAAUGAAAUCCAAAUGAAACUAAACAACACACUGCGAUUAAAAAAUAUACACAAAAAAAUAUGUGAAGUAAUUAAAAGGUUUAUUACUGAAGGCUUUAUAUUCUUAUAUAAUGAUACGCUGACUUUAUUUAACAAUAUACUUUGUUUGGGUUUACAGUAUAGCCCUUAUUAUUUUAUUAAUGACAAUGUUUUAACUAUAUAUGUUUGUUUAAGUGAACAAAUAAAAUUUUUAAUUACUAAUAAAAUUAUGAACAUGUUAAUAAUACAUUGGUAUGUUAAUAUAUUUUUUGUAUUUUUUAAAGCACAUUGUAUAUAUUUUAAAAAUGAAUAUGAGCACAUUAUGAAAAUUAAAAACAGUUUAAACGCGGAAAAUGAAAUAAAAGAAGAACAUUAUUAUAUAUACCAUAAAAUGUUGUUUAGCAGUAAAAGCUACAUGAACAACUAUUUGAAAUUAUGUCGAAACUUGUUUGUAAUGACUAGUAAUUUAAGGGUGGGAGUUACCACUGGUAUUGUAAGUGCAGGCGCAAGCACAAACACAAACACAAACCUAAGUGCAGGCGCAAGCACAAACACAAACACAAACCUAAGUACAGGCGCAAGCACAAACACAAACACAAACCUAAGUGCAGGCACAAGCACAAACAAGACUAACCACCUGUUUUACUAUCACAUUUAUAAUUACCAAAAAGAAUGUUUGAUUGAUUAUUUUUUAUUAACCUCCAAUUACAUGCUUACCUACUACGACUGUAACAUAAUAAAAAAAAGUUUAAGUUUGUUUAUAGAUAUUUCAAAUUCAAUUACAUUCUUAAAUUUUGAUGCAUCCUCUUUUAGUAUAUUAUUAAAAAUUAUGAAAACUCUUUUGUCCAUAUUUUUAUUUUAUGAAGUAGUAGUGCUGACAUUGCAAGGAGAUGCUAGGAUGUCACAUGGCCAUGAUAAACAGAAUAAAAGUUACAUUUGUGGAAAUUAUAAUAAUAACAGUAGUAAUUGUACUACUAGUGCUAGUGGCAUAACCGAAGAAAUAUAUACGGGAGACAUGAAUACGUUUAUGAAAAACGAUGUGAGCAAUUUAAAUUCAUAUUUAAACGUUUUUACCGACUCCUUUAUAAAAAUAGCUAAAAAUUAUUUUAUUUUGCACAAGCAAGCGUUUAACAUAAAUACAGAUACAGAUACAGAUACUGUUACUGCUACUGCUACUGCUACUGUUAGGGACACCAUACUAAAUAAACUUGUUCAUGUAGACACGGUUAGACAGUUUUUUUUACUCUUUGACAAUUUACAAACUCCGUCCAACACAUUAAAUGCCGAAACUGUUAUUAAUGAUUUGAUAAUUACUGGUGAAUCGAAUUGUUUAAAAUAUUUUUUAAUAAAUAGUAGGAAGGAAAAAAUUAAAAAGAGUUAAUUUUUUUUUUUUUUUUUUUUCAUGUUUAGUGGACGUACAUACGU